UACGUAGGGGGCAAGCGUUGUCCGGAAUCAUUGGGCGUAAAGAGCGUGUAGGCGGCCCGAUAAGUCCGCUGUGAAAGUCCAGGGCUCAACCCUGGGAUGCCGGUGGAUACUGUCGGGCUCGAGUCCGGAAGAGGCGAGUGGAAUUCCUGGUGUAGCGGUGAAAUGCGCAGAUAUCAGGAGGAACACCAAUGGCGAAGGCAGCUCGCUGGGACGUGACUGACGCUGAGACGCGAAAGCUAGGGGAGCAAACAGG
rnacentral:rRNA from 1 species